rnacentral:rRNA from 1 species
UAUGUAAAGAAACUAUUAAGGAUAAUUAGCUAUAUAUUAAAGAUAAUUAUAAAUCUAAAAUCUAAGAUAAAUUAAUUAAAUAAACAAAGUGAACUGAAGUAUCUUAGUAACUUUAGGAAAAGAAAUCAAACGAGAUUUUAUUAAAAAUUUUUUUAAUAAAAAAGCUUAUAAGUAAAACGAAAAAAAUUUGUUUGAAAAAAGGGGAACCUUCCUCUAAAGCUAAAUAUAAUAUAUAAGCGAUAGUGAAAAGUACCGUGAGGGAAAAUUUGAAUUAGUAGUUUUAUAAGCAGCUCGAAACAAAGAGUGUACCUUUUGCAUAAUGGGUCAGCAAGUUAUGUUUAGAAGCGAGCAAUAAAAUAUUGCCUAGUUAAACCAAUUAUGAAAAAAUAAUAAAGUUUCUAAACAUAGACCCGAAAGCUAGUGAUCUUACCAUGGUCAGGGUAAUAAAGCCCGAACGAGUUAUCGUUGUAAAGAUAUUCGAUGAACUGUGGUAAGUUGGUGAAAGAUAAAACUGACUAGUAUAGCUGGUUUUCCGCGAAACCUAUUUAAGUAGGUAAUUUAACUAACAUCUUAGCAGGUACAGAACUGUGAUCUCGGGCAAAAAUUUAUUUUUGUAAAUAUCGGGGGAUCGUGUAGAUUUUAUCGGAGAGUAUUUGCACUCGGAAUGGCAAAGAUGAAUGUUGAAUAAUCAGACAUAGUGCGAUAAGGUUGUAUGUCUAAAGGGAAACAGCCCAGAACAAGAGUAAUAAGGUUCCAAAAUUAUUAUUGAGUGAAAUUAAGGAUGUUUUUAUCAAAUACAAUCAGGAAAUAGGCUUAGAAGCUGCCAUUUUUUGAAGAUCUCGUAACAGAGCACUGAUUAAAUAUUUUAGAUAUAAAUACCGAAAAUAUAACGGAUCUAAAUAAUAUACCGAAACCUUGUACGUAUUAUUAUACGGGGUAGCGGAACAUUGGAUAAAUCUUAGAUUUUAUCUUUUUUAAGUUAAAAAAAUAAUAGAUAAUCCAAGAGAGAAUGCUGACAUGAGUAACGAAAAAGGAAAACUAAUAGAAAAUUUAGAUUUUUAUCUUUAUUGAGUAAUUAGAAUUUAUUUUCCUCGCCUUAAGCUUAUGGUUUAUUUUAAAUUUCGGUAUCUAAAUAUAUACCCCAAAGGGUCUGUAUGAUGAUAAUAAUAAUUAUUUUUUGUAAACAAAAUCUUUAUUUAGUGUUAAAGGUUCAGGAAAUUGUAACAAAAAUCUAAAAUAAUUAUAAACCGUACCUAAAUACUAUCGCAAGUAAGCAAGUAGAGUAUACAAAGGCGUUUGAGUGAACAAUCAUUAAGGAACUCGGCAAAUUAACUACCGUAACUUCGGGAUAAGGAGGACCGUUAUUAUAGAUACAUAUGUAUCGAAAUAGUAAGAGGAAUCAUAAAAUAGUGUUGUACGACUGUUUAAUUAAAACAAAGCACUCUGCCAAGAUAGAAAUCUAAGUAUUGAGUGUGAUGUCUGCCCGAUGUCGGUAGGGUAACAGAUAUACUUAAUUAUUUAAUUAGGUUUAGAUGAACACCCCGAUUAAUGGCGGCCUUAUCUAUAAGGGUCCUAAGGUAGCGGAAUACCUUGGCCGUUAAAUGCGGUCUUUGCAUGAAUGACAUAACGAUACAACAGCUGUCUCGAUGAUUGGCUCAGUGAAAUUGAAUUAGCAGUGCAGAUGCUGCUUACCUCUAGAUAGACAAGAAGACCCUUUGCAGCUUUACUGUUACCUAUUAUGAUAUAAUUUGAUAAUUUCCAGUGUAUAAGGUAAUAGUUAUGAAAUUGAAACACCUUUAUUUGUUCUAUUAUAUUUUUUAUGGUAGGAAGGCAGUUUAUGCGGGGCACAGAUCCCAUAAAAAGUACCUGGGUAUAUCCAAAGUUCAUAUUGUAAUUUUGUAGAUUUUUAUUUACAAAAAUUCAUUAAAUAUUCUUAUUUUUUGAAUUUUUUAUUUAAUUUGUAAUUAAUUAUUAUUAAUUAUCCAGUUAUUGUUUAUAUUAAGUUAGUUAUUUUUAAUUUUUUUAAGUAAGAUUUUAACUAUAUGGUAAAUAGAUGUAAAUUAAAUAAUAAUAUAACUAUAUUAUUAUUUAGUCAUAUUAAUAGAGAAAUUUUACUUAUUAAUAUGAUGUUUUUUUACUUUAAAAGUUUAAUGGCUUAAUCUUGCUUUACUGUUUGACUUACAAGUCUAUCAGUCGCGUAAGCGGGGCAUAUGAUCACAAGAUUCAUAAAGGAAAGGUCUUGGAUUUAUGAAAAAGUUACGCUAGGGAUAACAGGCUAAUUUGCGCAAGAGAGUACAAAUUGAGUGCGCGGUUUGGCACCUCGAUGUCGGCUUAACUCAUCCACAUGAAUGUAGAAAUCAUGAAGGGUUCGACUGUUCGUCGAUUAAAGAGUUACAUGAGCUGGGUUUAAUACGUCGUGAGACAGUAUGGUUUUUAUCUUCUAGAGGGAUACAGAGUAAAAGAUAAAUAGUCCCUUCGUACGAAAGGAGUUGGGAAUGUUGACCUAUGGUUUACCUGUUGUUUAAUAUUGUUUUUAACUAAUUUACUAUCACUAAAGUAAGAAUUAUGAAUAUACGCCUCAAUCAGAAAUGGUUGCUGUUUGUGUAUAGGAUUGCUUAUUAAGCAUGGCAGGAAAGCUAAGUCAAUUAUAGAUAAGUGCUGAAAGCAUUUAAGCGCGAAGCUUAUUAUAUUAUACUCUUUUAUAUACGUAAUAUAAUAUUACGUAAUAGGCUUUAGUUGUAACAAAUUUAAUUAUUUUUAGACAUAAAGUACUAAUUUAUUAUUAUACUUAAUAUAACACA